UAAAUAAUCCUACCCUUUGUGAAUUUUGUUUGUUUGAAUAAUUUUUUUUUUUUAAAAAAUUAUUGGAGUCUUUCCCUUUAGAGUUUGCUUUUGAGUUUGUAAAAGAAUUCGAAAACAUCUAAAGGGGAUGGUCAAUAAUUUUUUUUGAAAAAAGACAUUUUUUUAAAAUUAAACUUUUUGUAUUCAUUUGUCUAAAAAUUAUUUUUAUAAUAUAAAAACAACUUUUGACAAUGGAUCUCUUGGUUCUCGCAACGAUGAAGAACGCAGCAAAAUGCGAUAAGUAGUGUGAAUUGCAGAAUACGUGAAUCAUCGAUCUUUGAACGCAUAUUGCACUUUUUUAGUUUACUAAAAAAGUAUGUCUGUUUGAGUAUCAGUAAAAUAUUCUCAUAAAAAUCAUUGGUAUUUUUAUGGUUAUGAGUGUUUUACAACGAUACAAGUUGUUUCACUUUAAAUUUUUUUUUAAUAUUGAAAUUUUUCUAAUUUUAAUAAUUAAAAUUGGAUAAAAUUUUCCCGUCAAAAGGAAUAACCUAAACAAUUUUAAACGAUUAAUUUUAGCAAAAUUUUCGUAAAAAAGGAAAAUUUUUAUUAAAAUAACUUGAUCUCAAAUCAGAUAAGAGUACCCGCUGAACUUAAGCAUAUCAAUAAGCGGAGGAAAAGAAACUAACAAGGAUUCCCUUAGUAACGGCGAGUGAAGCGGGAAGAGCUCAAAUUUGAAAUCUUCAAGGUUUUACCUUGACGAAUUGUAGUUUAAAGAAGUGUUUUCUGCUGAAGUUUUGGUAAAAGUUCUUUGGAAUAGGACAUCAUAGAGGGUGAGAAUCCCGUAUUUGACCAUUAUUUUCAGCUUUGUGAUACACUUUCAAAGAGUCGGAUUGUUUGGGAAUGCAGUCCAAAAUGGGUGGUAAAUUUCAUCUAAAGCUAAAUAUUGGCGAGAGACCGAUAGCGAACAAGUACCGUGAGGGAAAGAUGAGAAGAACUUUGAAAAGAGAGUUAAACAGUACGUGAAAUUGUCAAAAGGGAAGCGUUUGACACCAGUGUUGUUUUCUCGAAAAUCAAUUAAAAAUGGCUCGAUUUUGUAUGCUGAGACCUUAAAAGCUCACUGUACAUUUUUCGUGUCUUUUUUAAUGCACUUUUCGUUUAACAAGUCAACAUCAGUUUCUUUUGUUGUAAAAGGGUCAUUGGAAGGUGGCUUUCUUUUCGGAGAAAGUGUUUAUAGCCUUUGGCCUCUGCAAUCGAGAGACUGAGGUCUGCAGCGUAGACUCUUCGGGGUUAGAUACAUUUGUGCUAAGUUAUAGCUUUUAUAGACAACUUGUUGACUAUAAUUAGUCUUGUAGCUUACUCGCUUAUGCUAUUUUACCUACGCUUAGGAUG
rnacentral:misc_RNA from 1 species